GUUCUCAAUCCCAGCAUGUGUGACAGGACACCAAGUAAACCUAGACUAUCCCUAACAGGUGUUUGUCCAACCUGUUCCUAAAAACUUCCAGUGAUGGGGAUUCCACAACCUACCCUGGAGGCCUAUUCCAGAGUUCAACUACCCUUAGGGUUAGAAAAUUUUCCCUAAUAUUUAACCUACAUCACUCUUGCUGCAAAUUAAGCCUAUUACUUCUUGUCCUAACCUCAGAGUACAUGGAGAACACUUGAUCGGCAUCUUCAUUAUAAAAGCCCUUAACGUAUUUAAAGACUUAUCAGGUUCCCCCCUCAGUUUUCUUUUCUGAAGACUAAACAUGCCCAGUUUUUUUCCUCCACAAACCUAGGUUAGGUUUGCUAAAGCUUAUAUAAUUUUUGUU